UUGGGAUUCUAGGUUGGUUGUCGUUUUACUUGUGGAGAAUUGAAGUGUUGCAAGUUGAAUAAGAAGUAAUGAAUGAAAGUGACAGUGACGAGGGUUCAUUAGACUUAUGUGAUAAUGAACUAUAUAUAUCCGAUGAUGAAGAGAUCAAUACAAGGGAGAUGAGGAAA